rnacentral:rRNA from 1 species
UACGUAGGGAGCAAGCGUUGUCCGGAAUCAUUGGGCGUAAAGCGCGCGUAGGUGGCCUCGUAAGUCCGCUGUGAAAGUCAAAGGCUCAACCUUUGAAAGCCGGUGGAUACUGUGAGGCUAGAGUACGGAAGAGGCGAGUGGAAUUCCUGGUGUAGCGGUGGAAUGCGCAGAUAUCAGGAGGAACACCAAUGGCGAAGGCAGCACUCUGGGACGUGACUGACGCUGAGACGCGAAAGCGUGGGGAGCAAACAGG